rnacentral:lncRNA from 1 species
UCAAUCCGACACUCCUAGCUCAAGAUAUGAUUUUUCUCGCGAAAGCUGCUAAUGCUGAAAAUUAAAUACGAAAAUUAAAUAAGUGCAAAAAAUAAAAUAAAUUAUGAAAACACAUUAAAACAUAAAAUAAUCAAAGCAAACCGAAGAAAUACUUAAGUACAAACAUGGAAGAACGUACAUCAAAAUGCACUGAUCGAAUUCCCCCACACUUGAACUUUUGCACUCCGAGCAAAAUUGAAAACAAAACAAAACACAGACACAUCAAC